GGUGGCUCAAUGGUAGAGCACUUGCCUUGCAUGCUCGAGGCCCUGGGUUCGAUUCCUCAGCACCA
rfam:Dipodomys ordii contig_2577, whole genome shotgun sequence.